GUCUCGAUGCGUAGUCACCUCCUCGUCGGUGAGACUCGGUAAUUGGCAUCGCUUUCAAAAAUCUUAUAUCACAAAAUUUAUUUCAUUAAAAAGUUUUCGAAAUAUUUCAAAAUAAAAUCUAUAUAUAUCAAAUAUAUUUCAUCAAUGAUAGUGUGUGGAAAGCGAUGGCAAGCUAAGAACUACGCACAUCUGCAGUCCAGUAUAAACUUUGUAUAAUUUAUUUAAUUAUUUUGAUUUUAAUUUUUAAUUAAUUAAACUGGACUGCAGAUAUUAGUUAUAAGUUAAUGUAAUAUAUAUAUUGGAUUAAAUUUAUUGUAAUAAGUGCGUUUCCGUUUAUUACAAUAAGUAUCAAAAUAUACUUCCUAAUUUAAAGCGAAAAAUAAAAAUUUUUAAUUUUCUUAUUCUUUUUUUAUAUUUUUUUUAUAUUCUCGAUUAUUUUAAUCUCAUGUCAUGCAACGGUGGUAGGAGUUGUUGGGCCGAUGCUCUACUUCCGGUGGCCAGUUAAGGGUCCGCGCUCUGAUUAGUAUCUUCGAGUACUCAAUUAGAGUUAGGUCUUGUGGUAGAACGUCGUCUUUGUAAUCCUAUGGUGGUCAGGGAUUUAUGCCUUGCUCCUUCCUGUGUUGUUGGGACAUAAGGCGUUCAACUAUUAGGCCGUUGUCGUAACCCUCGAUUGGUCACUGGUGAGUAUCAUCUGUCCAUCGAUUUUCGUAAAUCCAUUGAUAUAAGUCGUAAUAUGAGAGCGACAAAGAGGGUUGAUUUUUCAUCAAUCACGUAUCUUUAUUCUUCUUUUAAUGUUUCUUUUUAUGUUUUAGUAUAAAUUAAUAAUAUUUUGAAUUUUUAUUUUUUUUGCUUUAAGUUAGACGAGAGUAUUCUUGAUACGAAUAAUUAUUAAUUAUUAAUAAAAAUGUUAUGUAUUAUAAAUUAUAGGUUUAAGAUUUUAAAAUAUAGUUUAAGUUAGUUUUAUAAGCUAUCAUCGUGCGAUUAAUUAGCGAGCGAAUGUAAAAAACUUUUGUAAAAAUCGUUGUAAAGAUCCAUUAUACAUUAAUUCAAAUAAUUAUGUCAUUUCAUUAAUGUAUUUACAAUUAAUAAAUAUUUCUUUUAUAUUUCUUUUAAUAUAUUUAUGUAUAGCUAUUAAUUAAUCUUUUAUAUUUUAUUUGUUAUUUUUCAUAUUUAAUUUAUUUGAAUUAAUCAUUAAUUUUAAUGUUUUUUCUUACUUUUUAACCUUAGGUGGGUUUCGAUGCAUAGUUACCCACCUCCUCGUCGAUGUAACCCGCAAUCUGCAGUCCAGUAAACUUUAUAUAAUUCAUUUAAUUAUUUUGAUUUUUAAUUUUUAAUUAAUUAAAUUGGACUGCAGAUAUUAGUUAUAAGUUAAUGUAUUAUAUGUAUUAGAUUAAAUUUAUUGUAAUAAGUGCGUUCCCGUUUAUUGUAAUAAGUAUCAAGAUAUACUCUCUAAUUUAAAGCGAAAAAUAAAAAUUUUUAAUUUUCUUAUUCUUUUUUUAUAUUUUUUUUAUAUUCUCGAUUAUUUUAAUCUCAUAUUAUGCAACGGUGGUAGGAGUUGUUGGGCCGAUGCUCUACUUCCGGUGGCCAGUUAAGGGUCCGCGCUCUGAUUAGUAUCUUCUAAUACUCAAUUAGAGUUAGGUCUUGUGGUAGAACGUCGUCUUUGUAAUCCUAUGGUGGUCAGGGAUUUAUGCCUUGCUCCUUCCUGUGUUGUUGGGACAUAAGGCGUUCAACUAUUAGGCCGUUGUCGUAACCCUCGAUUGGUCACUGGUGAGUAUCAUCCGUCCAGCGACUUUCGUCCACCGAUGUAAGUCGUGACAUGAGGGCGAUAGAGAAGAUUAAUUUUUUAAGUUUUUUCUUCUUUUUCAUCAAUCAUCGGACUUUAGAUGUUUUUUUAAUACUUUUUAUUCUUUUGGAUCGCAUUUGAUACGUUUUUGAACAUUUGUAUUUUAAAUGCUCUUUAUAUUGUAAUUUUGUUUAUUAGUAAUGAUUAAUAUUUUUAAUUUUACUUUCUUCGCUUUAAAUUAGAUGAUAGUAUUUUUGAUACUGAUUCUAUGUUAAUAGAAAUGUUAUAUAUAUUUUGGAUUUAGUAUUAACAUGUUAUUAUUUAGAUAAUUUAAGAUAACUUAAUAUCUCGAUGGACAAUAUGGGACAACAUGGGACAACAUAAGAUGACGAUGGACAACAUAAGAUGACGAUGGACAACGGGGAACGACGUUGGACAAUGUAUGACAACUUGGAAUGACCUUGGAUGACGAUGGACAACAUGAGACUUAAUUUUCAAUUUUAUUAUAUAUUUCUUAUAAUAUAUACAUAUAUAGUACAAAUAGUACAAUAGUACAAAGCGAAAAAUGUAAAAAAUUUCUGCAAUAAUUUUUAUAAAAAUUUAUUGCAUGUUUAUUAAUUUAUGUUAUUAAUCUUUAUUUUGUGUUUUGAUUGUUUAAUUUUUAUAUAAUAUUUUUUAAUGUAUUUUGUUUUGUAUUAUUGUAUUUUUUGUAUUAUUUAAUGUAUUUCUUAGCUUUAUUGCAUGUUUAUUAAUUUAUGUUAUUAAUAUUUAUUUUGUGUUUCAGAUUUGUUUAAUUUUUAUAUAACAUUUUUAAUGUAUUUUGUUUUGUAUUAUUGUAUUUUUUGUAUUAUUUAAUGUAUUUCUUAGCUUUAUUGCAUGUUUAUUAAUUUAUGUUAUUAAUCUUUAUUUUGUGUUUCAGAUUUGUUUAAUUUUUAUAUAACAUUUUUUUAAUGUAUUUUGUUUUGUAUUAUUGUAUUUUUUGUAUUAUUUAAUGUAUUUCUUAGUUUUAGGUCUCGAUGAGUAAUUAUCUCUUCAUCGGUGGUAAUUAACAUCGCUUUCCAAACUUUUUAUUCUUCAAAAAUCUUUCAUUCUUCAAAAAUUCUUCAAAAUUCUUUUCUCAUUUCUAUGGGAAUUGGAAUCCUUUUCUCAAUUUUAUUUUUAUGUUUUAUAAUUCGUUAUUUUCGUCGCUUUUUUGGCGUCACUGUGAAUCAUCACAAAAAAAUUGUAAGAUUUCAUCGGACUGAUGUUCUACUUUCGGUGGUCAGUCGAAGGUCCGCGCUCUGAUCGAUUGAUAUCUUUGUAUAUUUGAUCAGAGAUAGGUCCUGUAUAUUAAAUGUCGUCUUCGGUAAUUCGACUUCAGUGGUUUUAGAAAGAUUUUAGUUCCUUCCUGUAAGUCGUUAGGACUAUGUCUUGGUAAUUCGGCUCAGGUGGUCCUGAAAUGAUUUCUAAUUCCUUCUCGUGGUCGUUGUGGACAUUAUGCAUUUAAUUACUAGGCCGCUGUCGUAACUCUCUGCUGAUCAACAAGGUUAUCAUUUGUUUGAUGAUUCUUAUAAAUCGACUAUUAUAUAAAAUUUAAAUUUUCUUAAUUUCUUUUUUUUCUUAUACAUAUAUAUAAUUUUUUUAUUGUGUCAAUAACUUUUCUUCGUUUAAAGUGGGUAUCUUUAAUAUCAAGUGAUAUCAAUGGGGUGCAUGAAUCUUUGAUUUAGUAUUAUUAUUAGGUGUAAAUUAAGGUAGAUUUAGUAUUAUUAUUAGGAUUAAAUUAAGAUAGAUUUAGUUUCAUCGCUGGACAUUGUGGGAUAAAUUUGUGGGGUAAAAAAUAUAAAAAAAAAUGCUGUAAAGAUCAUUGUCAAGUUCUAUUGUAUAAUAAUUCAAAUAAUUAUUUCCUUUUAUGUAUUCAUAAUUCAUAUUUUUUUUAUAUUUCAGAUUUAUUUAAUUUUUAUAUUUAUUUAUAAUUUAUAUUUAUAUUUAUUAUAUUAUAUUAAUAUUUGUAUUUAUUAUUAUAUUUAUAUAUUUUAUAUUUUUUUUAAUUUGUUAAAGUUAAUAAUUAAUUUUAAUUUUUUUUUUUUUAGUUUUAGGUGAGUCUCGAUGCAUAGUCACCUCCUCGUUGGUGAGACCUGGUAAUUGAUAUUGAUUUUUGUAUUAAUUGGAUUAAUCUUUGAAAAUUUUCUAAAAAUUAUUCUUUAAAAACGAUACCAAACUAAGAAUUACGGAGUGUCUACAGCUCAAUUUAAAUUAUUAAAUUCUUUUUGGAUAUUUUGGAUAUUUGAUAUUUUGAUAUUUCGUCUAGAUUGAGCUAUAGGUUCUUUUUUUCAGAUUUAAUUUAUUCUUACAUUAAAUUAUUUUUUACAUUUCAUGCAUAUUUAAUAUGUAAUAUAUAUAAUAUAUGUAAUAUUUGCAGUUCAAUUUAAACAUUCCAUUUAAUUAUCUUGAUCAAUUGUUGAUAUGCAUUGUUGAUAUAGUUGAUAUAUAUUGUUGAUAUGGAUAUAGUAUAAUAUGGACAUAUAGUAUAUAUAGACUGCAAAUACAAAUAAAAUCUGUACCAAGAUAUUAUCGUUUUUUAUUUUAUUCUUCAACAAUGUAAAUACUAAAUUUUUUGAUAUUGUUGAUAUGGAUAUAGUAUAAUGGACAUAUAGUAUAUAUAGACUGCAAGUACAAAUAAAAUCUAUACCAAGAUAUUCUCGUUUUUUAUUUUAUUCUUCAACAAUGUAAAUACUAAGUAAGUAUGAACAUAAAUUUUUUGAAGCAACUAAAAUAUCCCCGAUGCAAUUAAGUUGCAAGUUGUAUUUACUAUACGCAUUUCGUAUCAAAAUAUUCUCCCUAACUUAAAGCGAAAACAAAAUUAUUUUACUUAUUCCCAUAUGAUUUCUUUUUUUGCCAUUCCAUCACAAAUUCCCAUUUAUAUUUAAAGUAUUCGUUUAUUUCUUCUAGAAUAUAUUCCUUUUUAUUUAUUAUUUUAAGAUGUUUGCAAAUUUUUCGUCGCUUUUUCUAAAUCACUGUCAAUCACAAUAUUGCACUGUCAUGCAAUAGUGGCAGGACUUCCAUCGAUUUUCGUAAGUUUAUUGAUGUAAGUCGUAUGGGGGCGACAGAAAAAGUUGAUUUUUUAUCGAUCGUAAGUUCUUCUUCUAAUGCUUAUUAUUUUUCUGGUCUGUAUUUACUUGCUUUUUGACUUCUCUUUUUUUUUUUUUUUAAAUUUUAUUUAUUAUAAAUGAUUUAGUAUAAAUGAUUUUGAAUUUUUCUUUUUUUCGCUUUAAGUUAGACGAGAAUAUUUUUGAUACGAAUAAUAUUAAUAAAAUUGUUAUGUAUUGUAAAUUAUAGGUUUAAGAUUUAGGUUGGACAACGUGGAAUUAAUUAGCGAGCGAAUAUAAAAAACUUUUGUAAAAAUCGUUGUAAAGAUCCAUUGUACAUUAAUUCAAAUAAUUAUGUCAUUUUAUAAUGUAUUUAUAAUUAAUAAAUAUUUCUUUUAUA